rnacentral:lncRNA from 1 species
AAAAUAGAGCAUACAUACUGACUUACACCACACGGUCAUGUGCCUUAGCCGUGGGAAAUCUGGAGGGGUUACUGACUUAGGUCACACGACUGACCAUAUGCCCGUGUGUCUGGCCCGUGUACCCUUCGAAAUGGCUACAUACGCCUAUGUGCCAAGGCUGUGUGCCUCACACGACCACCAAACACACCUGUGUGUUUAGGCCGUGCACAAGACUGACUUGAAUCUCUAAUUAUUUCCCAGGGGUCACACGGCCAUGUACUAAGGCCAUGUGCCACACAUAGUUGAACCACACGCCCUUGUGCUCAGCUGUGUGGAGUGAAAAUAGGCUUGAUUUAAGCCACAUUUCUCACCCUCCUCAAGCAUACCUAAACCACAUCAAAUUUCAUCAUUUCCAUACAUAUAUGAACAACCAAAACAUGCUAAUUCAUUCACAAUUUAUACCAUUUAUAAACCAUCCACUUAACUACUCAAAUCCAUAACCAAAACAUACCCAAUCAAUAUGCCAAAGUCAUCAAACUUACUUAACUUCUAAAUGCACUUUCUCAACAUUCUAUCAUCUAUUUCAUGCCUCAAAACAUACAAUUUCAUUAUCUCAUAAUCAAACCACAAUAUGUCAACUUUCAAGCAUCAACAUAUCAAUUAAUAACUAAUCAAGUGAGUAACCACCUAGCCAUAUCAACAACCAUGACAAACAUGCCAAAGUACAUGAAUACUUAUAUACAUCACAUAUAUCACUUAUCAAACACAUAAUUUAAGCCAACUUAAAUGGCCAUACAUACCAACAUUUACAUCAAAAGCAAGCCAAGUCUCAUGGCUAAUAUCAUGACUUAAAAAAAUACCAAAAUAACACUAGCCUAUACAUGCCAUAUACCAAAUAUACAAAGCUUCAAAAGUACCAACGAGAUGAUCGAUAGUGUGAUGAUGUUUCUCGAGUCCGAGCUAGCUUCGAUAAUCUAUAAAACAUGGAAAUAACACACAAAGUAAGCUUUAAAAGCUUAGUAAGCCAUGUAUAAAUAAAGCCAUCAUAUGAACAUUUGCAUAUCAAUUCAAAUAUGCUAAACAUAGCUAAUCAUAUUCAAAUUUACAAACCUUUCUUAUUGAACAUAUAUUCAAUAUCUUAAUCAAGUUCAUCAAAUACUUUCCCUUUUUAAUAUUCGUAUGAAUUUCAUACGUACCUGAGUCGUUUAACUCAUUAACACAUUCUUUCUUGACUUGUCUUUGCCCAUUGAAUCAUUCGGAAUCGUUAAGGAUACUCGGAAUCACAUAAAACUCGUACAAUGCCAUAUCCUAGAUAUGGUCUUAAAUGUUAUCACAUAUCGAUGCCACUGUCCCAGACAGGGUCUUACACGAAAUCGAAUAACGAUGUCAAUGUCCCAGACAUGGUCUUACAUGUAAUCACAUCUUGUAACUUAAUGUCAUGACAUUCGUAUCUUAUACUAUUCCUAAGGUUCGUACAGGACUUUUGGAUAUCGUAACUUUAUCGAUUCUUGCUCAUAAUUGUUCAUUCAACAUUUACAACCUUUCAAUUAUAAAUAUACACAUAUAAUUCAAUUUAAAGGCAUUCAUUUGUAUAUGAACUUACCUCGUAUUCGGGAUAAACGAAUUGGAUCGACUAUUCGAUAACUUUCGAUUUCCCUAGAUCUAAAUCUGAUUUCUUUCGUUCGUAGUAUAUAUAAAUUCAAAAUUAACUCUUUUAUUCCUCAAUUCAUUCAAUUUUAUCCAAAACACACAAUUUGAGAAUUUUACACAUUAACCCCUAUAAUUUCACAUUUUCUCAAUUUAGUCCCUAUUUCAUGAAAACACAAAAUUCAUGAAAUUCAAAUUAACCGAUGCUUGAAAAAAUUUCAUAGGGAGCUCUAGCAGCCUAAACUUUCAUUUAUUCACACUUUUAACCCACAUUUUUAUCUUUUCACAAAUUAAUCCCUAAUUUGUAUUUUCUCUAAAAAUCACUUAAUAAAACUUUAAUAUAUAUCAUCAAACUUUCAAAAUUCAUCAAAAAUAAUUCAAAAGCUCAAGCAUUCAUUAAUGGAAACUCACAAAUUCAUCAAAAAUUUUAGAAAUUAGGGUACGGGCUAGCUAGAUUACUAAGCAACGAUCAUAAAAACAUAAAAAUCAUCAAACAUCGAGCUCAAAACGUAUCUCAAUCAAGCCACACAAGUUCUGAACCCUAAAUGAGCUUCAAGCUUUUAUUUUCUUUUGAUUUUCUUUUAUUUUCUUUAAUUAACCUUUUAUUUUACUAAUUACCAUAAUAUCCUUAAUGAAAUUAUAAUAAAAAUUUUAUAUACAUGAUCAUAAAUGUCCAUUAACUAUUCCAAAAGUCUAAUUUCAAUAUAAGGACUUCACAUGUAAUCAACCAUAAUAAUUAAACACAUUUAACAUAUAGAAUACCAUUUUUGCAUUUUACGCGAUUUAGUCCUUUUUUGUCAAAUUGAGCUAUUAAACGAUAAAAUUAGCUACGAAAUUUUCACACAUAUAUAUUCACAUGCUGCAAACACAAAAAAUAAUAUUAAAAUAAUUUUACGACCUCAGAUUUGUGGUUUCAAAAAUACUAUUCUGAUUUCGCUAAAACCAGGUUGUUACAAGAUUACCUUAUUUUCUAAUACUUUCAAUUCAUUAAUCAUACACAAUGAUUUAAGACAAAAAAACCUUAAUUUUUGAAUGAAGAAAUAAACAAUUUAUUGGGAGGAGAGGGAUGCAAUUGAAAACCUUGAAAACUUUGGUUGCGAAUGUGAUUCGACAAUGGUGAAGAAGAAGAGAAAAUCUUGAGAGUUUUUCUUGAAAAAUUUUCUAAAUAAAAUUCCUAGGUUUCUGAAAAGAUUGACUACUUAUAGAACUUUUUUCCUAAUUGAAAUAGAAUUAAGAAUUAGUUUAUAAUUAUGGUUUAUUUAAAUUAAUGACUAAAUAAAAAAAUAGUUUUUGGUCUGGGCUAGUUUGAAAAUUCAGUACUUUAUAGGGAUAAAAAUAAAAAAUAAAAUAUUUUAGCUAAAUGCAAACAAGGGAUUAUGAACUUGAGACCAAAAGGAAAGCUAAGCUUUACCACUGAACUAGCAAACUCAUUCUUAACAUAAGCCUUCAAGAAAUUGUUUUUAAAGGUUAUGGCUAAGCAUUAAGGGAGUUUUUAAAAUAAUCGGCAAAUGGUGCAAAUAAAGGAGUUUAAACCUAGGACCUCUAGAAUAGGGGAAUAACACUUAACCAUCAAGCUUAAGGCUCAUUUCUUGUUAAUUAUUUAUUAAAAAUAAUUUUUAAGGUAUUCUAAGUUCACUAGGGUGUGAUAUAAAUAGAGGAUGAAGAGAAGUUCUACUGAAAUUAUGAAAAAGAUAGUUAUUCUAGUCAAACUAGGACUAAAAUUUGUAUACCUUAGUGUAUGGGGCUAGAUCAUUUUGCUGGCCUUUGGCGAUCCGUUCGUUCAAACUCGCCUAAGUCAGCCUUUACUCAACUGAGGAUUCCUUAAGAAGUCCUCCAAGGCACCAAUUGUAGAGCAGAAGCAAUUUAUGCCAAAAGAACAACAGAAAGAACACACAUAGAAGCGAUUUAUGCCAUAUCAAAUCCUAUUUAAUCUUUACAAGAUAUGAUUCCCUCUAUCUUCUAAAAGUAGUUACCAAAUUUUCAAUGGAAUUAAAAAAGGAAGGGUGUAGCUUGAACUUGGGCAAAUGGAAAGGGAAUUAGCAUGUUAACCAUUAGACCUAAGUCUAUUUCUUGUUUAGUUUUUAGUGUGGUUUUUAUCCUAGGGUGCUAAAUAUAAAAGGAAAAAAAAUUGAAAGGAAUGAGAUUUGAACCUAGGAUUUCUAGGAUGGGUGCACUAUCAUUUUAAUCAUUCGACCUAUAUAUUAUUUUUUGUCUAUUUAUUAAGAUUAACUCCUUAUAUUUUGGGGCAUGACAUUGCUAGAUUUCAAUUCCAGACUCAAAUAAUUGCAAUUUUCAAUUAGGAACUUAAUUGAUUUUAAAUUAUUUUACGUUUUUUUUCAUUUAUGUUGAAAAAAUUUUAAGUCAACAUUUUAACUAAAAUAAUUAACGAGGAACUUUUUUUUUUGAUUAAUUGAUAUAAAAAUAAAGAAACUAGAUUAUAUCAAAUUAAAAUAUAAAAAAUGUAAAUAUAAUAAAAAGACUAAAACCAAAAUUUCAAUAAUAGAUUGAAAAUUUAAGGCUCCAUUUGAUUUCUUACAGUAUUUUAUAUUUAUAUUUUUAGUUCUCAUUUUUCAUUUUUCAUUUUUCAUUUUUCAUUUUUGAAAUUUGAAAAACAUUUUUGGUAAAUAAGAAUACAAAUUUGUUUUGAAAAAAUGAAAACAUAAAAUAAUGCUUAAUACAUAGAAAUAUUAUAUUUUUUUAAUAUUAUAAAAUAUUUUUUAUAUAUUAUGAAUAUGUUAUAAAAAUUAUACAAUUAUAGAAAAUCAGAAAUAUUAUUAAAUAUUACUAAAACUUUAUGAAAAAUAUGAAAUUAUUAUAAAAAUUUAGAAAUUAUAGAAAAUUAUAAAAAUUAUUACAGCGAAACCAACAAGUGGUUGAGUGGUUCAAAUAUUGGAGACAACAUUGUUGGGAGGGGCAACCAAGAACCCCAAAUAUGGACCGUAAAACAAACAUGCAUAAGAUCAAAAAAAUAUAUUAAAACGAUAAAAAACCAAAAACUUAUAAAAAUUAUAAAAAAAAUUAUAGAUAUUUUAUUUUAAAGUUUUGGAAUCUUUAGUUUCGUUAAUAAGGAAAUAAAGAACUUAAAUUAUGAUGGUGAUUGAAUUUGUACUGGGUGUCGAGUGAGGUGUUUAAGUGACAAUAAGUUUAGUGCUUGGCAGAUUAAGGUGAGUUUAGUGAUGGAUUAAGAAGAGCAAUAAGUAUUAGUUUUGGUUGAUGAGGUGAUGCGAGAGAAAUUAAUAAAGAUAGAUUGUGGUAUGACGUAAGACAGUGUGUAAGGGAAGAUAAAAAAAGAGUAGUAACUUUUAUUCAAAAAUUUUUAAAAUUAAUACAAAUUAUUGAAAUAUUACAAGAAAUUUUAGAAAACUAUGUAAAUUAUUCAAAAUUUAUUAAAUAUAAUAAAAAUUCAAAAAUUGCUAUUUUUAUAUUUUUAAUAAACCUUUAUAAUAUUUUAUUAUUUUAUAUUAUUAUAUAAAUUUUUUAUAGUUUUUUAAAUAAAAUUUUAAUAAUUUUCUAUAAUGUCUAAAACUCAAUUAAGCUUCAUAAAAUGAUUAAAAAAAUCAAUUAAGCCUUCCACUUUUAACAAUUUUCAAGGUAAAAGUACCAUGAAAGCCCCUAUACUAAGAGUCAAAUUGUAUUUUACCCCCUCUAUUAAAAAAUGGGCAAAUUAGUCCUUACAUAAUAGAUCAAAGAGCAAAUUGGUCAUUUCUGUUUAAAAUUUCAUCCAUUUGUACUAUUAAAAACUGAUGUGGCUGAUAGAAUAAUCAGAUAUUGACACGUAACAUGCCACAUGUACCUCAUACUGACGUACAAAGAUCAAAUUUUUAUAGCAAAAAUGGAUAAAAAUUUUAAUAAAAGGGUCAGCUUGCUCUUUAGACCUAAUGUAUAAGGACUAAUUUGCCGAUUUUUUGAGUAAAGGGGACAACAUGCAAUCCAACUCCUAAUACAGGGGUCUCUAUUAUACUUUUACCCAAUUUUCAAUGACAAACACCACAUCAGUUGCCACAUCAGUAUUUCCCACGUCAACUAUCGUGUCAUCACUUAACAGGCCGUCAGGGGCUUCAACGAAAAACUAUAUUUCAAGAGCUCAAUUGAUUGCUAAUUUUUUUAUUAGGAGGUUAUUUGAUUGUAAUUUUCGAUUAAGGUCUUGAUUAAUUUUUAAUUAUUUUACAAGGGCUUUUUUUAUAUUUAAAUAUUUUUUUCUUAAAACUCGUCAAUGACAUUAUAAUAAUAGAAGGAUCAAACUCUGUCAAAUUGACUAAAUUCUAAAUUUGAAUAGUACUAAAAGGAGUAAAAUCAAAAUUUGACAAAUAUAUUCAAAAUCUAAAUUCCUUAUCUUUUCUCCCUUGCAUGUCUCGUUUUCUAAAAGUAAAUUUGGAGCUUUCAUAAUCCUGAUUCGACGACUAACAAGGCGGGAUUACAACAUUUUUAUAUACUAGAAUAGUGUUGAUUAUUUAUUUGUAUAAAUUUAUAAAGUAAAAAUUUGAAGGUAAAAAUAUGCUUUUAGUUUCUAUACAUUUAUAUAUUUAGAAUUUAGUUUCUAGCCAUUUCUUUCUGGCUUUAUGGUAUAAUAGAAACAAAAGUUAUCUUAAGGGGAUUAAGGAAUGGGUUCAAGAUAUAGUGGGAUUUAUAAAUGCAUACAACUUAGAAAUUGAGCAGUUGGGCAAAUUGUCGAUUACCUUGAAUAAUCCAAGCGUGUCUGUUUGGAAGCCUCUAAAGGAGGAUGUUAUAAAGGUUAACUUUGAUGCUUCUUAUAAUCAACAGCUACGCAUUUCAAGCUCGGGUAUUAUAGCACGUAACACGGAAGGAAUGGUAAUGGCGUCCUGUACCUAUCCAUGGGAGAAUAUUCUGGAUUUGACCAUGGCAGAGGCUCGAACGUGUUUGCAGGUGAUUACCUUUGUAGAGGAACUGGGUUUUCGUGAAGUUUGUAUCGAAGGAGAUGCCUUAAAUGUUAUCAAGAGAAUAAAUUCUACAGGAGAGGACAGAUCUAACAUUAGCAAUAUGAUAAACGAAAUUCAGAGAAGAGCACUUAAUUUUAGAAGUGUAAAGUUCAGGUUUGUACCCUGGGCGACGAACGUGUCGGCGCAUGGAAUGGUGAUGGAAGGCAAGAGGCAUGACUACCCCAUGUACUAGAUAGAGGAAGUCCCGAGGGAGGUGGAAAAGCUCAUUGAUAGAGAUAUGAGAGGAUUUGAGGAGAGUAAACAAGUGUGAAGGCUGAGUCCGGGCUCGAAGGCGAUUGAUAGUCUGAGGAACUCGAUGGCCUAAGAAAAAGGCUAGUUACUAGUGUGUUGGAGUACGAAAUGAUGGAAGGAUCUAAUGACCUUUUUGUUUUACUUAUGCACGGGGGAGGAUCGGAAGGAGUUCGUAGAUGAAGGGAUUUUUCAAAUCUGGGGACGUUUCAUUUUAUGUUUUUCUUAUUUUGUUUUCGGUUGUUGUGUUGGCUUUGUUAGGAUUUGUUUUUGUUUUUAAUUUUUAG